UAGAAACAAUUAAAUAAAUUACAUUACUAACACAAAGUCAUAGCUCAGUCUUAGAGCAUUUCCAGCACAAGGGUUUGGCCCGGGCAGGAGGGGGCCUGAGGCCCCAAGCACGCUUCUAGCAGGCCAAAGCAGCUCGGGCAGGAGGUGGGUCCCAACAAACCGAGCAAGUCCGAAGGAAAAACGAGCCCGAACUCGUGCUUGAGGGUGAUGAUGUUAGCGUUGACUCUAGGCCGGCGUUAACGCAUGGGAUUUAAUUUUAUUUUUUUACCAUAGGCGCAUGGAGUGUAGGCUCCAAUGGUAAAAAAAAAUUUGAAACUCGUGUGCGCUGGCAUCAACCUUGCUUUCCGCCAAAGGUUA
rnacentral:lncRNA from 1 species